rnacentral:rRNA from 1 species
AGUGAACGCUGGCGGCGUGCCUAAUACAUGCAAGUCGAACGAAGUGGCGCACGGGUGAGUAAUAUAUAGUUAAUCUGCCCUACACAGAGGAACAACAGUUGGAAACGGCUGCUAAUACCUCAUAGUGUAGGAUGAGACUAUAUCGUAUCAGCUAGUUGGUAAGGUACUGGCUUACCAAGGCUAUGACGCGUAACUGGUCUGAGAGGAUGAUCAGUCACGUGUGAACUGAGACACGUACCAAACGCCUACGAGAGGCAGCAGGAAGGAAUAUGGCGCAAUGGGGAAAACCCUGACGCAGCAACGCAGCGUGGAGGAUGACACUUUUCGGAGCGUAAACUCCGUUUAGCAGGAAAGCGGUACCUGAUGAAUAAGCACCGGCUAACGCCGUGCCAGCAACCGCGGUAAAAA